CUUUGUCAAACCUAAUGUUUUUUCACGGUUACAACUUCCUGUCUUCCAGUCCCACGUUUUGUUUCAUUGUCUCAGGUUUAGUCCCUUCCCCUUCACCACUUUUUGAUUCUCACGGUUUUAGCUUCUGUUCUACUGUUUCACUCACGGUUUCAUCUUCCUGUUCUACGGUUUCAGCUUCAGUUUCGGCUUCUAACGGUAGCCUCUCUGUGACUCUGUCUUCCUUCCUUCCUUCCUCUCCUCACAUCGAAUUUGUAUAUUUGGGUUGUUUUGAUUUUGGAUUUCACCUUAUAAUUCAAAGAAAGAUGAAGUUUUGCUCUCCACACAUCAUGCACAAUCAGUUAUGAAUGUAUUUUAGUAUCAUUUAUUAUUAUGUUUGUGAGUUUUGUUUUGUUAAUUUGCAAAAUCUGUUUAUUAUUAAAUAAUUCUGCCUUUCUUAUGUUAUUUUCAGUCUAUUCUAUUUAGUUAUUGAGUUAAUUUUCCAAGAAUUUUAUUUUUAAUUUUCCAAGAAUUUUAUUUCAUAUAAUUUAAUAUUUUAUACGUAAUUUGUAAACGUAAUUUAUCAUAUUUGCCUUCUGUUUUGAAGAUAUUGGGAGUGUCACCCUUGAUUUUAAUAGUUAAAUUUGAAAGCUUAAUUCUGACCCUAUAAUUCUAUUGAAAUUACAAAUUUGUUGAGAUCUUUGUCAAUUACAGCACUUGGGUAACUUCCAAGAAGAGUUGCUGGAACAAACUGAUAGGUUAGGAUGGUCUGAUUUCCCUUCUACUAAUCUUAUACUUCGUAUUAGAUUUUGUCCAUUUAGUGUAUGUGUUUGAAUUGAUUCUGAUUUGCAUGUUUUAGCAAGCUUUUUUUCUUUACAGAUUGAUUUUAUUAGCCAAAUCUGAAGUUUAGAGUGAAGAUUUUGUUAAACUCUGUGUUACUGCAUAUUAAGGAAUUAUUUACCUGAGUUUUUGAUCUUGAUAUUCAUAUUCAAGCUAAUGAGGACAAUGUAAUCAUUAACUGCAACUGCCAUAUGAUUUGUUGCUCUGCCUCAUCUCUUCUCUGCAACAUUAUUUUUAAAAGGUCAGCACUCUUUUUUUACAUCAAAUAGUCUUUUUCCCUGAAACUUCUCACCACUGCAUUUAGUUUACGAAUUAUCAUAUUAAAUCUCCAAUAUACAUACGUUUCUGUUUUAAAUUGUUUAAAAUCGGAAUUGUCAACCGUUGUUCUUUGACCCCUUUCAAAAAAUAGAUGGGUUCUGCCAUUGUUUUUCCUACCGUUUGGCAUGAAAUAUAAAAAACGUAUGCGUAAGGGGAGAUAGGGAGACAUCUUAGGCCAGCACCACCGUCAAACUUUAACCAAAAAAAAACUGGCUUCCCUCAACCGGCGGAACACUAUUACAAGGUUUUUACCAGAAUUAGAUUGAUUUUCAGGAUUUAUGAUCGCUGAACCAACGCUCAUGAUUGGUGGCAAUAAUGCUCAACUUAAGUUGCUGCAUAACUCAUGUUGGUGCUGCUGUUGGAGGCUCAAGUAGCUGCAUAAUUGCUGGUGUUGUUGUUGCUUAAAGUCAAAUUCUUUUUUCAGACACUAUAUGCUUAAAUAUACUACAUUAUUUAAGUCAAAUUCCUUUUUAGAAAGAGCAUGUAAUUCAGUAACUUAUCAUUAUGUUUAGCUAUUUAAUUCCAUGAAAUUUCAGGUCAAUUGAGCCACAAGUGAAAGGAAAAGAUUUACUCUGACUGUGGCGUGUGAGCUCUACACUUUUGGGAGCAUAUAAGUCACCAUGGGAAAGGAAGAACUCUGCCAAGAGCUUGGAAACCACUUUUUAUUGUACUUUGAGACCACGAUUUAACUUUGUCCUGUCUUGUGGUGAAAAAAGAGACUACAACAUACAGUGAUACAAUGUAUACAAUAAAUGAUCAUUGUCAUUCAUGACAAGUGGAAGCCAUGUAUAAUCACUAAUUAGAUUAGUUUUAUAUUUAUUGGGAUGUGAUGUGAGUUUUCGUUAUUAAAAUUA